rnacentral:rRNA from 1 species
GUUACGGNGCAAGCGUUGUCCGGAUUUAUUGGGCGUAAAGAGCGUGUAGGCGGCCAGACAGGUCCGUUGUGAAAACUCGAGGCUCAACCUCGAGACGCCGAUGGAAACCGUCUGGCUAGAGUCCGGAAGAGGAGAGUGGAAUUCCCGGUGUAGCGGUGAAUGCGCAGAUAUCGGGAAGAACACCCGUGGCUAAGGCGGCUCUCUAGUACGGUACUGACGCUGAGACGCGAAAGCGUGGGGAGCGAACAGGAUUAGAUACCCUGGUAGUCCACGCCGUAAACGAUGGGUGCUAGGUGUGGGGGGUGUCGACUCCCUCCGUGCCGAAGCUAACGCAUUAAGCACCCCGCCUGGGGAGUACGGCCGCAAGGCUA